AGGGCGUAUGGUGGAUGCCUUGGCAUUAGAAGCUGAUGAAGGACGUGACUAACUACGAUAUGCUUCGGGGAGAUGUACGUAAUCUUUGAUCCGGAGAUUUCCGAAUGGGAGAACCCACUAGUGGUAAUGCACUAGUAUCGUAUAAUGAAAACAUAGUUAUACAGAAAGCAACCCAGUGAACUGAAACAUCUUAGUAACUGGAGGAAAAGAAAGAAAAAUCGAUUUCCUUAGUAGUGGCGAGCGAAACGGAAAGAGCCCAAACCGACUUUAGAGUCGGGGUUGUAGGACCUCUCUAUAAGAGUUACAAAUUCAUAACAUAGUUGAACUUUUCUGGAAAGUUAGACGAAACAAGGUGACAGUCCUGUAAACGAAAUGUUAUGAACUCUUUGAGGUAUCCUGAGUACAACGAGACACGAGAAAUCUUGUUGGAAUCUGCGGGGACCAUCCCGUAAGGCUAAAUACUCUCUAAUGACCGAUAGUGAACAAGUACCGUGAGGGAAAAGUGAAAAGAACCCCGGAAGGGGAGUGAAAUAGAAUACUGAAACCGUGUGCUUACAAAAAGUUCGAGCCCGUUAAUGGGUGAGAGCGUGCCUUUUGCAGAAUGAACCGGCGAGUUAUGGUAUCGUGCAAGGUUAAGCGGAAAACGUGGAGCCGAAGCGAAAGCGAGUCUUAAUAGGGCGCGAGUACGAUGCUAUAGACCCGAAACCAAGCGAUCUAUUCAUGAGCAGGUUGAAGUAAGGGUGAAACCUUAUGGAGGACCGAACCAACUUCUGAUGCAAUAGGAGUGGAUGACUUGUGAAUAGCGGAGAAAUUCCAGUCGAGCUUGGAAAUAGCUGGUUCUCCCCGAAAUAGGUUUAGGCCUAGCCUUCUAAUUAGCUACCUGGAGGUAAAGCACUGAAUAUGGAAGGGCCACGUCUAGUGGUACUAACUGUAAUCAAACUCUGAAUGCCAGGCAAGUAUGUAGAGGAGUCAGUGUAUGGGUGAUAACGUCCAUACGCGAAAGGAAAUGAAUCCAGACCAUCAGUUAAGGUCCCAAAGUUUAUGCUAAGUGGAAAACGAUGUGGAGCUGCUAGAACAGCUAGGAGGUUGGCUCAGAAGCAGCCACCCUUUAAAGAGUGCGUAAUAGCUCACUAGUCGAGUGGCUCUGCGCGGAAUAUGUACCGGGGCUAAGCAUAACACCGAAACUGUGGAUUCGUAAUUUAUUACGAAUGGUAGGGGAGCGUUCUAUGGGCGCUGAAGGUAGACCGUGAGGACUAUUGGAGCGCAUAGAAGUGAGAAUGCCGGUGUGAGUAACGUAAGGAGGGUGAGAAUCCCUCCCACCGAUCGACUAAGGUUUCCUGGGUAAAGUUCGUCUCCCCAGGGUAAGUCGGGACCUAAGGCGAGGCCGAAAGGCGUAGUCGAUGGACAACAGGUUUAUAUUCCUGUACCACCUAUAUAACUGAUGGAGUGACGGAGAAGGCUAAGCAGGGCCAGUUAUUGGAUUCUGGUCUAAGCACAAAGGUAGAUGAAAUAAGAAAAUCUGUUCAUUGUUAUGCUGAAGUGUGAUGGCGACGAAUUCCACGGAAUUCUAAGUCUGCUGACGCCAUGCUUCCAAGAAAAACUUCUAAAGAUAUUAUAUAGGUGCCCGUACCAAGAACCGACACAGGUGGUCAAGGAGAGAAUCCUAAGGUGAGCGAGAUAACUAUGGUUAAGGAACUCGGCAAAAUAACCCCGUAACUUCGGGAGAAGGGGAGGUUUCUUCGGAAACCCGCAGGAAAUAGGUCCAGGCAACUGUUUAGCAAAAACACAGGUCUCUGCUAAAGCGUAAGCUGAUGUAUAGGGGCUGACGCCUGCCCAGUGCUGGAAGGUUAAGAGGAGAUGUUAGUUGGACGUAAGUCAAAUACAGCGAAGCUUCGAAUUGAAGCCCCAGUGAACGGCGGCCGUAACUAUAACGGUCCUAAGGUAGCGAAAUUCCUUGUCAGGUAAGUUCUGACCCGCACGAAAGGCGUAAUGAUCUGGGUACUGUCUCAACCAUAGACUCGGUGAAAUCUUAAUACCUGUGAAAAUGCAGGUUACCCGCAACAGGACGGAAAGACCCCAUGGAGCUUUACUACAGUUUGAUAUUGAAAUCAGGUAUGUCAUGUAGAGGAUAGGUGGGAGACUUUGAUGCUAAGGCGCCAGCCUUAGAGUAGUCAACCUUGGAAUACCACCCUUGAUAUAUUUGAUUUCUAACCUGCUACCGUAAUCCGGUAGGGGGACAGUGUCUGAUGGGUAGUUUGACUGGGGCGGUCGCCUCCCAAAAUGUAACGGAGGCGCCCAAAGGUUCC
rnacentral:rRNA from 1 species